rnacentral:lncRNA from 1 species
AAUAGAAUAAUAUAAUUAGGUUUUACUCUUUGUUCGAUUGAAUGAGAAAAAGUACUCAUAGCAAAGUUAUACUGUUAUGGCGCAACUGAGUAUUCUAAUGUUGUUCCGGUUUUGGUUCUUUUGAAUGUUGACAUCGAUUCGCUCCAAAUUUACACUCUCGGGGCAUAAUAGAACAAUAUAAUUAGGUAUUACUCUUUGUUCGAUUGAAUGAGAAAAAGCACUCGUUGCAAAGAUAUACUGUUAGGGCGCAACUGAGUAGUCUAAUGUUGUUAAGAUUUGGUGUCUUGUGAAUGUUUGACACGAUUUUUCCCAAAAUUUACACUCUCGGGGGAUAAUAGAACAAUAUAAUUAGGUUUACUCUUAUUCGAUGAAUGAGAAAAUUAACUCGUUGCAAAGUUAUACUGUUAGGCGUAACUAAGUAGUCUAAUGUUGUUCCCGGUUUUGGAUCUGGUGAACGUUGACAUCGAAUUGUUGCAAAUAUACCUCUCGGGCAUAAAUAGAACAUAUAAUUAGAUUUAUCUCUGUUCAUGGAUGAGAAAAAGUGCUCGUUGCAAAGUUAUAGUGUUAGGGCGCAAUUGAGUAGUCUAAUUUGUUCCAGUUUUGGUUAUUGUAAACUUGACAUCGAUUCGUUCCAAUUUACAUUCCUCGGGGCAUAAUAGAAUAAUAUAGUUAGGAUUUACUCUUUAUUCGAUUGAAUGAGAAAAAGCACUGUUGCAAAGAUAUACUGUUAGGGCGCAACUGAGUAGUCUAAUGUUGUUCAGAUUUUGGUUCUUGUGAACGUUUGACAUCGAUUCUUCCAAAUUUACACUCUCGGGCAUAAUAGAACAAUAUAUAGGUUUACUCUUUAUUCGAUUGAAUAAGAAAAUUACUCGUUGCAUGUUAUAGAGUUAGGGCGCAACUAAGUAGUUCUAAUAUUGUUCCAAUUUUGGUUCUGGUGAACGUUGACAUCGAAUUGUUGCAAAUGUAUGCUCUCGGGACAUAAUAGAACAAUAUAAUUAGGUUUUACUCUUUGUUCGAUUGAAUGAGAAAAAGUGCUCGUUGCAAAGUUAUUCUGUUUAGGGCGCAACUGAGUAGUCUAAUGUUGUUCCGGUUUUGGUUAUUGUAAACGUUGACAUCGAUUCGUUCCAAAUUUACAUUCUCGGGACAUAAUAGAACAAUAUAGUUAGGUUUUACUCUUUAUUCGAUUGAAUAGAAAAAGCACUCGUUGCAAAGUUUCUGUUAGGGGCGCAACUGAGUAGUCUAAUGUGUUCCGGUUUUGUUAUUGUAAACGUUGACAUCGAUUCGUAACAAAUUACAUUCUGAGUCAUAAUAGAACAAUAUAGUUUAGGUUUUACUCUUUAUUCGAUUGAAUGAAAAAAGCACUCGUUGCAAAGUUAUACUGUUAGUGGCGGCAACUAAGUAGUCUAAUGUUGUUCCGGUUUUGGUUCUUGUGAACGUUGACAUCGAAUCGUUGAAAUACGCUCUCGGGUAUGAUAGAACAAAUAUAAUUAGGUUUUACUCUUUGUUCGGCUGAAUGAGAAAAGUACUCGUUGUAAGUUAUAAUGUUAGGGCGCAACAAAGUAGUUUAAUGUUGUUCCGGUUUUGUUCUUGCGAACGUUGACAUCGAAUCAUUGCAAUGUACGCUCUCGGGCAUAAUAGAACAAUAUAAUUAGGUUUUACUCUUUGUUCGGCUGAAUGAGAAAAAGUACUCGUUCCAAAGUUAUACUGUUAGGGUGCAACCGAGUAUCUAACGUUUAAUGUUCCGGUUUUGUUUAUUAUGACGUUGACAUCGAUUCGUUCCGAAUUUCACUCGCGGGGCAUAAUAGAAUAAUAUAAUUAGGUUUUAUCUGUUUGUUCAGAUUGAACGAGAAAAAGUACUCAAUGUGCAAAGUUAUACUGUUAUGGCGCAACUGAGUAUUUCUAAUGUUGUUCCGGUUUUGUUCUUUUGAAUGUUGACAUCGAUUCGCUCCAGAAAUUUACACUCUCGGGGCAUAAUAAGAACAUAUAUAAUUAGGUAUUACUCUUUGUUCGAUUGAAUGAAAAAAGUCUCGUUGCAAAGUUAUAGUGUUAGGGUGCAACUGAGUAGUCUAAUGUUGUUCCGGUUUUAGUUAUUGCGAACGGUUGACAUCGAUUCGUUCUCAAAUUUACACUCUCGAGCAUAAUAGAACAAUAUAAUUAGUUUUACUCUUUAUCGAUUGAAUGAGAAAAGUACUCAGUUUGCAAAGUUAUACUGUUAGGGCGGCAACUAAGUAGUCUAAUGGUGUUCCGGUUUUGGUUCUGGUGAACGUUAACAUCGAAUUGUUGCAAAUGUACGCUCUCGGGGCAUAAUAGUACAGUAUAAUUUAGGUUUUACUGCUUGUUCGAUUGAAUGAGAAAAAGUGCUCGUUGCAAAGUUAUAGUGUUUGGCGCGACUGAGUUGUCUAAUGUUGUUCGCGGUUUCGGUUAUUGUAAACGUUUACAUCGAUUCGUUCCAAUUUACAUUCUCGGGGCAUAAUAGAAAGGUUUUACUCUUUAUUCGAUAGAAUGAGAAAAAGUACUCGUUGAAAAGUUAUACUGUUAGGGCGCAACUGAGUAGUCUAAUGUUGUUCCGGCUUUUGUUUU